rnacentral:rRNA from 1 species
AUUGAACGCUGGCGGCAGGCCUAACACAUGCAAGUCGAGCGGAGCGGCGGACGGGUGAGUAAUGCCUAGGAAUCUGCCUGGUCGUGGGGGAUAACGUCCGGAAACGGGCGCUAAUACCGCAUACUAUCAGAUGAGCCUAGGUCGGAUUCGCUAGUUGGUGGGGUAAAGGCCUACCAAGGCGACGAGCCGUAACUGGGCUGAGAGGAGGAUCAGUAACACUGGAACUGAGAAACGGUCCAGACGCCUAGGGUAGGCAGCAGUGGGGAAUAUUGGACAAUUGGAUAAAGCCUGAUCCAGCCAUGCCGCGUGUGUGAAGAAGGUCUUCGGAUUGUAAAGCACUUUAAGUUGGGAGGCGUUACCAACAGAAUAAGCACCGGCUAACUUCGUGCCAGCCGCCGCGGUAAUUC